rnacentral:rRNA from 1 species
GACGAAGGGGGCUAGCGUUGUUCGGAAUUACUGGGCGUAAAGCGAGUGUAGGUGGUUGUCAUAGUCAGGUGUGAAAGCCUUGAGCUCAACUCAAGAAAUGCACUUGAUACUGGGCAGCUAGAGGACCGGAGAGGAUAGUGGAAUUCCCAGUGUAGUGGUGAAAGACGUAGAGAUUGGGAAGAACACCAGUGGCGAAGGCGGCUAUCUGGACGGUUUCUGACACUAAGACUCGAAAGCGUGGGGAGCAAACAGG